AACGAACGCUGGCGGCAUGCCUAACACAUGCAAGUCGAACGAGACCUUCGGGUCUAGUGGCGCACGGGUGCGUAACGCGUGGGAACCUGCCCUUAGGUUCGGAAUAACUCCUCGAAAGGGGUGCUAAUACCGGAUAAUGUCUUCGGACCAAAGAUUUAUCGCCUUUGGAUGGGCCCGCGUUGGAUUAGCUAGUUGGUGGGGUAAAGGCCUACCAAGGCGACGAUCCAUAGCUGGUCUUAGAGGAUGAUCAGCCACACUGGGACUGAGACACGGCCCAGACUCCUACGGGAGGCAGCAGUGGGGAAUAUUGGACAAUGGGCGCAAGCCUGAUCCAGCAAUGCCGCGUGAGUGAUGAAGGCCCUAGGGUUGUAAAGCUCUUUUACCAGGGAUGAUAAUGACAGUACCUGGAGAAUAAGCUCCGGCUAACUCCGUGCCAGCCGCCGCCGUAAAAC
rnacentral:rRNA from 1 species